AGUGAACGCUGGCGGUAGGCCUAACACAUGCAAGUCGAACGGCAGCACAGUAAGAGCUUGCUCUUACGGGUGGCGAGUGGCGGACGGGUGAGGAAUACAUCGGAAUCUACUUUUUCGUGGGGGAUAACGUAGGGAAACUUACGCUAAUACCGCAUACGACCUACGGGUGAAAGCAGGGGAUCUUCGGACCUUGCGCGAUUGAAUGAGCCGAUGUCGGAUUAGCUAGUUGGCGGGGUAAAGGCCCACCAAGGCGACGAUCCGUAGCUGGUCUGAGAGGAUGAUCAGCCACACUGGGACUGAGACACGGUCCAGACUCCUAAGGGAGGCAGCAGUGGGGAAUAUUGGACAAUGGGCGCAAGCCUGAUCCAGCCAUACCGCGUGGGUGAAGAAGGCCUUCGGGUUGUAAAGCCCUUUUGUUGGGAAAGAAAAGCAGCAGGUUAAUACCCCGCUGUUCUGACGGUACCCAAAGAAUAAGCACCGGCUAACUUCGUG
rnacentral:rRNA from 1 species